rnacentral:rRNA from 1 species
GACGAACGCUGGCGGCGUGCUUAACACAUGCAAGUCGAACGGAAGGGCCCUGCUUUUGUGGGGUGCUCGAGUGGCGAACGGGUGAGUAACACGUGAGUAACCUGCCCUUGACUUUGGGAUAACUUCAGGAAACUGGGGCUAAUACCGGAUAGGAGCUCCUGCUGCAUGGUGGGGGUUGGAAAGUUUCGGCGGUUGGGGAUGGACUCGCGGCUUAUCAGCUUGUUGGUGGGGUAGUGGCUUACCAAGGCUUUGACGGGUAGCCGGCCUGAGAGGGUGACCGGCCACCUUGGGACUGAGAUACGGCCCAGACUCCUACGGGAGGCAGCAGUGGGGAAUAUUGCACCAUGGGCGGAAGCCUGAUGCAGCAACGCCGCGUGCGGGAUGACGGCCUUCGGGUUGUAAACCGCUUUCGCCUGUGACGAAGCGUGAGUGACGGUAAUGGGUAAAGAAGCACCGGCUAACUACGUG